GUAAUAUAAGAUACGGUCUCUUAGCUUUUAACUAGAAAAGCUAAGAGACGUCUCUUAAAUAAGAGAUAUAAAAGACGUCUCUUAGCUCUUUUAGUUAAAAGCUAAGAGACCGUAUCUUAUAUUAC
rfam:Brassica napus, WGS project CCCW01000000 data, contig: 3576